rnacentral:lncRNA from 1 species
AUUUCAGCUCCAGUAUUAUUUCCAUCGGUUCCCUCUUAUAAUUUCUCUUUGUUGAUAUCGCCUGUUUCUUUAUACAUGAUUGUUCUCUGGCUUCCUUUAGUUCUCUGCCCACGGUUUCCUUUAGCUGUUCAAGCAUAUUUAAGACAGUUCAUUUAAAGGCUUUGCCAUAGCAAGUCCAACGUCUGGGGUUCCUCAGGGAUGGUUUCUGUCAAUUUCUUUUUCCUGUGAAUGAGUCAUACUUUUCUUUUUCUUUGUAUGCCUUGUAAGGUUUGUUCUUAUUGCUUGUUAAGGGCUGCAGUCAUCCAUUUGUUUAGUGACAUUUCCAAACUCUUGUUGCAGACUGUAUUCCUUAUCAUGUGCAGUCACUGAGGUCUCUGUUCCAAUAUCUCAGUGGUCAGCCACUGACCUGACACACAUUUCCUUAAAUACUUGGAGCCAGAAAAACCCCAAAACUAGAAGCAACCUCUCCUGGUCUUUGCAGAUUGGGUCUAAACUGGGAACUCCUGCCGCUCUUAGCCAGGCCACCUAUAAGUCUGCCUUAGUCUUUAUUUCCUGCCUGCAUGGAGCACAGAGAUUAGCCAAAGAUGCAAGCCUAGGGUCCUCUCUGGUCUUUUCUGAGCACAUGUCCAGCCCUGGACACGUGUUGCAGUCUGGAUCCCCUGGUCUAUGAAGUAGCCCUUCAAGCCCCUAUUCCCCCAGUAUCUUCUUCCUCAGCCUCUUCCUUCCCAGGCUUUUUGGUCUGUCUGCUGUUCAUCCCUUCUGCCAUCCCCUACCCCACACAGCUGUGGGUGGUAUAUGUCUUUAAAUGCUUUCCACAGACACCACCUGGGAGGCUGCUGCAGUCUGAGAGGGCCAAAGCAAAGCUCAGCCUCUGCACCAGUCCUUCGGGGAACUGCCAGCCAAGUCAACAUGCACAACUGUUACUGAACCAAAGUGGGUUUGCUGCUUGGUGAGUUGAAAUCAAAGCCUGCACCAGAAGUAGUGGUCAUGCAAAAUAAGAUUUAUUUGCAGCAAAUAAAGACAACAGGAGGAAUCACUUCCAAAGUUGUGGCCCCUGAGCAAGGGAAAACAGGCCUCGGUGGGGUUCUGUCCUCACUGUGCACACUCUCCUUGGGGAACCCAGCCACGCCCAGAGCUGCCACCUCUCUGUUGAUGAAGCCCAGUGGUGAAUCUCCAACUUAGUCCUCUCUCCAGGGCCCCAGACAUGUGGACAACUGCCCAUGGGCUGCUCCACUCAGAAAUCCCACAGACCGCUCUAGGUGAAGCCGUGUAAGUAACUUCUGGUUAACAAGAUGGAAGAACGGCACGUCCUUACUCCCAUUCUUCUUGGUAUCUAGAUUAUGGAGGUGCUAGCCAGAGCCCAAGCGGCCAUCUUGGACCAUGAUGACUAUGAGGAUGGAGAAGCAGCAAAAUGGAAGGCGCUCUGUCUCCGAUGAUUGUGGGGCCACCAGCUUAGAAGUGCUCACCUCCUUACUUUGCCUCCGGGAGGGAAAACCAGCUUUUAUCUUGUUUAGCCCAUUGUUAUUUUGCGAUUCCUUCACAUGCUGCUAAACCAAAGCUUCCUUAAUACACAGAUCUUUUCAGCCCCGUUCUCCAUACACCAUGUGUUCCACCGGCCGUGCUAAACCACCUGCAGCCAUCUCUGCUUCCGUUCCUUUGCACGGCAUUUCUGCGAGGUGUUAUAAGGGUCUGUUCGCUUGUCUUCCUCACUGCCCGUGAACAUCUCUGCAGCAGAGGACCGUACCUUUCUUGGAUUCCUGCUUUGUGAUCAACUUCUUUAAGGCAAGAAAGGGAGGGAGAGGGAAUGGACAUUUACUGGGUCCCACUUAUGUGGGCUUUACAUUUUAUUUGCCUUUUAAUUGUUGGAGCAAGUCUGUAAGGGGCGCGGCAUUAUUGCUGCUCUUUCACAGACGAGGAAAGGGAGGUUCAGAAAGGCCAAGCUGUUUCCCAAGUGUGCGUGGAUAACGAGCGGCAGAACUAAAUGUGGAACUCCAGUCUGUCUGACCUGAUGCAGCAGCUCUCUCCACCCCACCUAGAAGGUGCCGUGUCAGUGCAUGGGCUGGGCUGUGGCUGAGUGACCUUUGAUGAAUUAAUUCCCCUCCUGGUUCUCCUUUGAGGUCGUCACUCUCAGCUGCUUUUCACAUGCUGGUUGCUAAGGGUGAGAGUUUGGUAGGAAUUUUUGAAGUUGGAAGGCCUUGCUUAUUGUGAAAAGGAGAUGAACAGAAGGAUAGAUGAACCCUAACAAUGUCAGGCCUUCUCCAUGGGCACCACGGAGUGAGCCUGGAGCCGUUUCUUUGCCACGGGCCAUGCAGAGCCACGUUCCAUGGCAUUCCAUGUCCAAAUAAUUUCACCAAUAGGCUUCUAGGACAGAGCCGGUCUGCCUGGCAUGAAACCCAGCCGUGGGCCGGGUGCCGGCAACAGAUCUGCAGGCAUUGCCGGUCAUGAAUGACACUGUGACACUGUGGACAGAAGGGCUGCUUGAAGGACACCCUGGAGCAGCUCUUACCUCGACAGGGCUUCGCCAGUACGUCUAGGAAUUGCCAGCAAUUGCCUGAAAGAGUCCGUUCAAUUCACCCAACAACAUGACGUUGCCGGCGUUUCUCUGCGCCGUAGCUGGGAUGGUCUCCUUGCCCCUUGGAGGAGGUCUGCAUUAUUUUAAGGAGCUCUUAGGUUGUCUGGUCUCACCUUUUCAAUAAUUUAAGCCAGCAAUUCUCAACUGUUUGGUUUCACUGUUCCUUUAAGCUAUUCAAACUGAGGACUCCAAAAAGCUUUUAUGUGGGUUACAUCUACCAAUAUUUACUGUAUUAGAAAUCAAAACCGAGAAAUUUUUUAAAAUAAUAAUUCAUUUAAAAGUAAUAACAACCAAUGACAUGUUAACAUAACAUUUUUAUGAAAAAGAACUAUUUUGCAAAAAAAAUUUAGUGAGAAAAGUGGCCUCGUUUUACAUUUGUGGGAGGCAGAAUAACGGCCCCCAAAGAUAUCCCCUGGAACCUGUGAAUAUGUUACUUUAAAGGGCAAAGGGGACUUUAAAGAUUGGGGUUGAGGACCUUGAGGUAGGGAGGUGGCCCGGGUUAUCCAGGCGGGCUCAAUCACGUGACUCCUUGAAGUGGAGAACUUCCCCAGCUGCGGUUGGAAGGAGGCAAGACUGCUAAAGAAGAGUCAGAGGGAGACGCGACGUCGCUGGCUUUGAUGAUGGAGGAAGGGGACCACGAGCCAAGGAAUGAGCGUGGCCUCCAGAAGCUGUCCAAGGCAAGGACACAGAUUCUUCACUAGCACCUCGAAAAAGGAGCAGAGUUUUGUGACACCUCGAUGUCAGCCCAAGGAGACCUGUGUUGGCUUCUGACGUCAGACCUCUAAGAUAAUAAGUGUGUGUUAGUUGUUAAGCCACUAAGUUUGUGGAAUAUUUUUAUAGCAGCUGUAGAGAACAAAUAGAACGUUUUUGCAAAUCUCUUUAAUAUCCAGCUUAAUAGAAGCAAGCUGGAUUCUCACGUGCUUCUGCAUUCAAUCUGUUGUGUUAU